GCCCGCCUAGCUCAAUCGGAUAGAGCGUCAGACUCUUAAUAAGUCGUUAGGUGGGAUCUGAAGGCUGCGAGUUCGACCCUCGCGGUGGGCU